rnacentral:misc_RNA from 1 species
UUUCCGUAGGUGAACCUGCAGAAGGAUCAUUAGCGAAGUUGAGGCUGGACUCUUUCCCGUCUCCACCUUUUUUCUACUUCUGCGCACUGUCUUCUACUAACCGCACCUGACGUACUGGGAUGUCAACAUUUUAAACAGCUAAAACUUUCAGCAACGGAUCUCUCGGCUCUCGCAUCGAUGACGAACGCAGCCGAUCGCAAGAGCCAACGUCUGAAUUAAAGCCAAGCAUACACCAACCGUACGCCUUCUUCUGCCUGCAAAGAAAAACGCAGCAGACCC